CCUACCAGUGCCUCUGAUCUUCAGACAGCUUUCUGAAGCAUUUAGCAAAGCUGCAAAAAUUUGUUUUACAGGGGAAACCACCUGGGUAUUGUGCUAGCUCCAAACCCACACUCCGUGAAGGAAGAGCUCUACUCUUUUGAAUAUGUGCAUUUCCCUGACUCAAGAAUCAUGAACAAGAGAGCCAACAGGAAAACAGUAGAAUAUCACCCAGCAGAUUCCAACAGCAGGAAAACAGCUUUGCCAAAAAAUAA